rnacentral:rRNA from 1 species
CCUACGGGAGGCAGCAGUGGGGAAUAUUGGACAAUGGGCGAAAGCCUGAUCCAGCCAUGCCGCGUGUGUGAAGAAGGCUUUCGGGUUGUAAAGCACUUUCAGCGAGGAAGAAGGCUUGUCGGCCAAUACCCGGCAAGAGCGACAUCACUCGCAGAAGAAGCACCGGCUAACUCCGUGCCAGCAGCCGCGGUAAUACGGAGGGUGCAAGCGUUAAUCGGAAUUACUGGGCGUAAAGCGCGCGUAGGCGGCGUGUCACGCCGGGUGUGAAAGCCCCGGGCUCAACCUGGGAACGGCAUCCGGAACGGGCAGGCUAGAGUGCAGGAGAGGAAGGUAGAAUUCCCGGUGUAGCGGUGAAAUGCGUAGAGAUCGGGAGGAAUACCAGUGGCAAAGGCGGCCUUCUGGACUGACACUGACGCUGAGGUGCGAAAGCGUGGGUAGCAAACAGGAUUAGAUACCCUGGUAGUCCACGCCGUAAACGAUGUCGACUAGCCGUUGGGUCCCUUGAGGACUUAGUGGCGCAGUUAACGCGAUAAGUCGACCGCCUGGGGAGUACGGCCGCAAGGUUAAAACUCAAAUGAAUUGACGGGGGCCCGCACAAGCGGUGGAGCAUGUGGUUUAAUUCGAUGCAACGCGAAGAACCUUAC